UUUUGAUGUAAUUUCUAGUUUGAAUUUUGUAAAUUAUUGUAAUCAAGUUUUAUAUUCCAAUUUAGUGCACUUAAUAUUGACAUAUCACUAAUAUAAUUUCUUAAUCAUUGUCGCAUGAUUAAUCAUAAUACAGUUAUAUUACUUUCACAUUGACAAUACAUUAAUAUUUAGUUAAAUAAAUUAGAUUGUGUGACUUAAUUGCUAUAAUUGUAAAGAUUCGAAUAAAAAAUUACAAUAUAUUAAAAUUUCAGAACCAUAGUUUGGCCACUAAAAGUGUAAUU
rnacentral:lncRNA from 1 species